rnacentral:misc_RNA from 1 species
CCCUUGUGGAGGAGGACGCCGAAGGUGGGGCUAAUGACUGGGGUGAAGUCGUAACAAGGUAGCCGUACCGGAAGGUGCGGCUGGAUCACCUCCUAACAGGGAGACAACAAAAUGUUUAAUAUUAUUAUUUUGUCACCUUAGGUCGAUCGGUAUCUCACGUUCUUAAUUUAUUAAGAAUUUCAUUUCCUAAGUUUUUCUAGGUCACACCCAUUAUUUUCCUGGGCCAUUAGCUCAGGUGGUUAGAGCGCACCCCUGAUAAGGGUGAGGUCCCUGGUUCAAGUCCAGGAUGGCCCAUAUCUCUAUGUUGGGGGUAUAGCUCAGUUGGUAGAGCGCCUGCUUUGCAAGCAGGAUGUCAGCGGUUCGAGUCCGCUUACCUCCACUGAUUACCACCUCUUCCAUAAUUUUAGAAAGGAAAAUUUUUGAGUUUUGAUCAUUAUUCUGAGCGAAUCUAGCUUCCUAAUGAAAUUAUUAAGAUGCUGGACUCAUUGAAUUAAUUUCAUUGUUUUCAGAGAACCUUGACAACUGCAUAGAUUAUUUUUAAAGACAAUAAGCAUCUUUAAUGAUGCAGAUUUAUUAUUUUUGCAAAUGCAUUAAUAACAAUUCUAUUAAGCUGAUGCUUCAAUUAUGAAGUUAUUGGUCAAGCUACAAAGGGCUCACGGAGGAUACCUAGGCACACAGAGGC